rnacentral:rRNA from 1 species
UACGUAGGGGGCUAGCGUUGUCCGGAAUCAUUGGGCGUAAAGAGCGCGUAGGCGGCUGGAAUAGUCCGGUGUGAAAUCCACAGGCUUAACCUGUGAAUGCCGCUGGAAACUGUCUGGCUAGAGUCCGGAAGGGGCGAGUGGAAUUCCUGGUGCAGCGGUGAAAUGCGCAGAUAUCAGGAGGAACACCGAUGGCGAAGGCAGGUCUCUGGGCCACUACUGACGCUGAGAAGCGAAAGCAUGGGGAGCGAACAGG